UUUUUUUUUUUUUUUUUGGGUACUUUUGGAUACUUAUGUAACAGGAACAGGAUGGAUUUUUUAUUGCAGUGGUUUUGUUAUCAUGCAUUGGAAGCAACACAGAGUGGACCAGAAGAAGGGAUUACAAAUUUCCAAAGCCUGAUUGAAUCUAGUACCUUACUUGCAGGGACUACAUAUUUCCAAAGCCAAUUUUCCUAUUUGGAUGAGAAUUCACCUUUGGUGGCCCCUGAAAAUGUCUUUACAUUAAUAAAGGGAUGCAUGAUUUGGUUAUUAAUUCAUCCCAAAAGCUGUAGCUAAGCUGUAGUUCCAACAAAACUACAAUUAAUUGACAGCUUUAAUCAGAUGCAGCUACAGUUAAAGCUUUAAACAACUUCUCAAAGGCAAAUUAGUGAGUCUGUUUAUUCUUUUAACCAAUUUUUUUUCACUUUCAAGUAAUACUUGGCAGUUUGGAACUAACUAAUCAUGCUUAAUGUCUUAUGGCGUGGCAUACAGAAAAAUAGCCUUGUUUGGAUUGCAGAUUUCCAAAGAAAAAUUCUACGUUUUUCAUAACCAUAUUUCUUAAUCACCUUUUUAUCCCACAUAUAUUAAAUUAUUGCAGUAUAUUUUUUUACAAAAACUCUGGCAAUCCAGAUGAAAGUACUACUAGCUACUCUACCAAUCUUGACUCAAGAAGAGUUUCAAAUUUUCUUUUUCUUUUUUUAUGAUCAGAUUUGUAUAUAUAUUUCAGAGUAGAAAAUUAAAAUGAUAUAAAAAGAUUUCAGAAGAAAACGUAAUUAAAAAAUGAAAAAACAAAAGGGAUGAUCCAAAUUCCAAAAAAAGAAGAAAAAUGAAAAGAUGAGAUAACAAAGAACAGAACAAUUGGAAGAAUCCAGGAGAAAGCAUAUGAUCUCAUGUCAGUGCAGAGUGGAAUGGUGCAAGAUGUUAUUUCCUUCAUUGCUUAAAUAAAUAAUUAAAUAGUACAAACGUAACUUUUCGGAGGCUGCAAAUAUAAGCAACCAAACAUCAGCAAAAUGUAAAAGUCUUUGGAUUAAUUUUUGUGUUUAGUAAUCAUCAAAACCUUGAAAACAACUUCACACGAAAAGGAUUGAUCCUUAUUAAAUUAGUUAAUUCGUUCUUUAUCACUUUAGAAGCCAAAAGCAAAAGCAAUUAAAGUUAUACAUUUGGAAAUUCACCCAAAUUUCACUCUUUAUCCAAUGUGGGACUGGAAAGUAUCCAAUUAAUUAAGGCAAAAUUUUGAAUGGAUGGGGUGAGAUUUGGAAUAUUCGUAAGUUCCAAUUAAAGUUGUGCGGCUAAAUAGUAUACUGAUUGUCUUGGAUGAUAUUGCUUAUUGAUAAUGUGUUAGGUUUUCUAUUAAAAAAGAAAAAAAAAAAAGAAUUACAAGGCAAUGUUCAUUGUUGAGCAGACGAUGUACAUUCACUUACAAUUUAUACAGUUUUUUCGUGUAGGAUAUAACUUCAUUUUCACAAUUUGUAGAGAGUGAGUAUUAAAUUAAUCUCAAUUUCUGAAAUUCAAAUUGGAACAAUCAAACAUGAAAUUGUUUCAUUCGAACCUAAAACCUCAUGGUCACUUGAUUAAUAUCCUUAUCAGCUAAGUUAGAUCUUAGAAAUAUUGCAAGAUUUUUAUUUGAUUUUAAUAUUAAAUAAUUUGAAUAAUACUAUAGUAUAAAAAAAUAAUUAGCAACAACUAGUUGAAUUGUUUGGCUUUUAUCGAUUUUGACUGAUUUAACCAAUUCUUGACCGAAUUUUUUUAAAAAAUUUCAGUUUAAUAUAAAAUUGUUAUAAUGAUUGGUUCACAAUUCAAUCGGUCAAAUUAACUUAGUUGCGUGGUCUGAUUUUCAUAAUAGUGCUCUUAAUUAGAUGUUUAGUGCAAAGGUUCAUAUGCCAUAAAAAGGGUUCUUUUACCUAACACAUCUUGGUUCGGACACAUUUACGUUCAGCGUUCAAUCAUAUUGAUUAUUAGUUGGACUUAUCCACCUAAAUAGGAUAAUACUUAAAAAAAAAAGAAGUAAAUUUCUCAUUUAAAAUAGUAAGUUAACGUAAUAAAUUGGAAUAAAUAUGAAACUUACUUUUUAAAUAAAUAAAUUACUACUUUAUAUCUCAAACUUACUUUUUAGAGAGUAAGUGAUGCAAGAGGGACGGUUGACUAAGGCACUUCGAGUGGAGUCCAAGUUGAGCUAGAUGGUCCAAUGACUAGAGCUCCUGUCAAGAAGCUUAAGGAGUCAAUGCAAGCCCUAAUCUGUGCUAUACAUGAUAGAGUUGGCCAUACAAAUGUUAUUCAAGGGCUUGAGGAGGAAGAAACAACUCGUUAUACUCUCAUUCAAGUUGUCGAGUCAAGUGAGGCAAAAUUGGAAGAUUUGCUCGAAGAUUAAAACGUUCAAUUCUGGUUUAGUCCAUUAGCAUUUGAGUCGUUUAUCUUGGUGUUGUUUAAGCAAGGGUUUUAAUGUUAAAUUACCUUGCUAAAUUUAGUUGUUAAUUGCUUUAAUAAAUUCGGCCAAAAUUAGGGUUUUUAGUGGACCGACUUUUGUCAUUAAUUUUAGGAAAUAAGUGGUUCCAAAUUACAUGAGGUUUUCAAAUAAAUGAUUCCAAAUCAAAUUAGGUUUUCAAGUAAAUGAUUCCAAAUCACAUUAGGUUUUAAAGUCAUGUCAGGCUAUAAAUAGCCCAAUCUCUUAAACGUUUAGAGAGGUCAGAUUUUACAUUAAAAUUGUGAGUUUUAUUCACUUCUCUUGUUCAAAAGAGUUUUUCUUGAAUACUUGAGAGUUUCUUAAGUUAUUCAAUUUGAACUUAUCAAUCAAGUAUACACCUUGGUUGUGGCGUUCUUCUACCUUUAACAUUGGUUAACUAAAUCAUUCGAUUAUGGGUUGAGAUUCAAUUCAAGGUUCACAAUCUAGGGUUUAGAAGGGUCAAGUGUUAUUUCGCAAUUCAACUUGAUUUUCUUCGUCUAGAUCCGGGACUAUAUGGGAUACGAAUUCAUACCUUCGGGCGGGUUCGUAUCAGCUUGGUAAUCAGAGUUAGUUGACGAAUUCAAGUAUAUCUUGUUCAUGUCAAGUAAGUUUUUCUUGUGUCAAAUUUGGUCGUGUUAUCCUAGUAAAGUUGUUUAAGUUUUUCCUUGUUGUUCUUGCUGUUUCCAUCGUUAAUUGCUGUCUGCAUCCUCUAGUGUUGUUCGUGUGUUUCCUUGCUACCCGAAUAUCAAUUGUUGGUUGCAUCGUGUCUUGUGAUCUUGUUUCUUGAGUCAUGAAGUUGUUUAAAGUAAAAAAAAAAAAAAAAAAAAAAAAAAAAUCGGACUGUUCACAAUACUGUGCACCGGUACUGUUUAUUGGCAAUGUUCACGAUACUGUAGCGCACUAUUCACCGUUACUGGUCGUCCGAAAAAAAAAAUUUUGGUUAGUAGUUGUUCUUGUUGAAUCCGUAACUGGUUUCUUGAAGUUAAUUCGUGGCUGCUUUUGUGUUUUGGUGUCAAACCAUGGCUGAUCAAUCUUGUUUUUGAAAGUGCUUGAACUUUUGAAAUUUCUUGAUAAGAAUCUUGAAUUCUAGAAUUAUCUUGGAUACUUUCUUGACAAAUCUUGAAGUUCUUGGGUAAAAUAUUCAGGUUUCUUGAAUUCUUGAACAAAAGUUUUCAAAUCUUGAAAUUCUUGCAAAACCCUAAUUCCUAUUUCUUGAACAAAGUAGCGGCUAAUUCUUGUUUCUUGUUGUGGUUUGAAUUCUUGAGUGUUUGAUUCAAAAUUGAAAAGAAAAGAAAAAUAGUUUUUGUAAAAAAAAAAAAGGAACAAAAAGUCGGAUCACUCUUAGAUUCAAACAAGAAAGCAAAUCUGAUUUGGGAAACCAAGUUGACUUAGGAUUGUAAACAAAUCCUAGUCAUCACAUAACUAAUCCAAUUUAGAUUCUGCUAGCUGCUUAUACACAAAAAUUACUCCAAAAAUUAGCAGCUUAUCUUCCAAAAUAAAUCCAAGAACUAAUUGGAUUCAACUUCUAAAAUUUCAGCCAAGGGUACAAUCGGGUAGAGCAAUUCUAGGCUUCCAAAUUUCUGCUAUUUUGUUUCUUAUUUAAUCGAGUUUUGCAAUCUGUCCAGCCAUUAAAUUCGUGUCUUUUGAGUCUUUUUCAACCUAUAAAUUGUGUGUCUAAGAGGUCCCGAAAGGAGUCCACAUCAGUCUUGGAUUCCAACUAGUCUUAUUUUCCUAAUUCAAGUCGCUAGUUAAAGUCCAAAGUUUCCAAAAUUUGAGUCACCUUGUGCGGACAAAAUAUGGUAUUUUUUUCAGCAUGUUUAGUGUCUUGUUUUGAAUUAUUAUUCAGUCCAUUUCACUCUAAAUUUCCAGUUUAAAAUCCCUACCAUCUUGUGUGAAACUUGGUGAAAGUUUGAUUGAAUCUCAUUGAGAAAAUUCUGAUUUCUUCAAGAGAGGCAAUCAAGUGACUUGAGAAGUGUCUGGUGAGAUCAUUUGAGUGAAUUAUACACUUAAAUGAUACACGAGCACGAGUGAAACACAUUAGAGAGUGAGUGAGGCAUUUUCUAUUAACGUUUGUUGAGUUUUGCAGGAUUAAAAAAAACAUGGUUCACGAAAAUGAACUUACCAUUUCUCAAUUAGCAUUUAAAAUUGAUACUAUGUGAAAUGAAAUCCAAAGAAGAUUCGAUUGCAAGUUUGAGUCCAUUCAGGAGCAAAUUGAACAAAUGGAAUCAUCAAAGAACUUAUCUAAGAAAACUAGAGGAAAAAUCUCAUUGCAUGAACUCAGUGACUCCAAUUUGAAGAGGGAGUAUGAGGAAGAUGAACAAAGGCCGAGGAAACAUAAGCAUAGAGUUAAGCAUCAAGAUGACCAACUUAAAGGAAUAAAGCUGAAAAUUCCUACCUUCCAAGGUAAAUCGGACCCCGAAACAUACUUGGAGUGGGCAAGAAAGAUUGAACUUAUUUUGUGAUUGUAACCACUACAUGGAGUCUCAAAAGGUUAAGCUGGCAGCCAUAGAAUUCAUGGAUUAUGCAGCAAUUUGGUAGGAUCAACUUCGCAUCAAACAAAAAAAGAAUGAGGAGCCGACCAUCCGAACUUGGGAAGAGUUAAGAAGGGUUAUGAGAAAGCACUUCAUACCUGAUUACUACCAUAGGAAUUUGUACCAUAAAUUGCAAAUCCUCACUCAAGGUAGUAUGACAGUUGAAGGCUACUUCAAGAAGAUGGAAAUGGCAAUGAUGAGGGCUGAUGUUCAUGAAGAUUUAGAGGCAACCAAGGCUCGAUUUUUGAGGGGACUAAGGGCUGAAAUUGCAAAUGUUGUAGAGCUCCAACACUACCUUGACAUGGGUGAACUAUUGAACAAAGCUAUCAAGGUUGAAAAGAGGCUCAGGAGAAGGGGUAUAACUCGCCAAAACUUCAACUUCCAACCCAGAAAUUGGAGAAAUCCGACACUUGGAAGAGAGGUUAGCCCCUCAAAGGUAUUAAAUUCGGCAAAACUAAGUGGUGCAUUGAAGUCGAAUACCUCAUCCUCCAAACCAACGCAAAAAAGUGGUUUUAAGUCCAAUCAAGAUGCACCUAAACCAAGAAAUCGAGACACUAAGUGUUUUAAGUGUCAAGGUUUUGGUCACAUUACUUCUCAAUACCCAAAUCAAAUGACCAUGAGCAUGUUGCCAACUGGGGAAGUGCUAAUGGAUGAAGAGGAUGAGUAUGAGGAAAUGUCACCUUUGGUUGAGGAUCAAGGAGAGGAGAUCAAGUAGGAGCAGCCCACACUAGAUCGCGUUGGUCUAGUAGCUCGAUGUGCAUUAGCUACUCAAAUUAGUGUGGAUGAGUUACAACGCGAAAACAUAUUCUACACAUGCUGUCAUAUCAAAGACAAGGUUUGUAACUUAGUGGUUGACCCCGGGAGCUGCAUGAAUGUAGCAAGUGCACAUAUGGUGGAGAAAUUGAACUUGGCUACUACCAACUACCAUAAGCCCUAUAAGUUGCAAUGGUUCAACAAUAGCGGAGAGGUACGUGUACUUAAAUAAGUCCUAGUUUCUUUUCGCAUUGGUAGAUAUAUUGAUGAGGUUUUAUGUGAUGUUGUACUUAUGCAAGUUACUCAUAUUAUUUGAGGCUGUCCUUGACAAUUUGACAAGAAAAUUAGUUGGGAUGGUUACGCUAAUAAAUAUUCAUUCUUCUAUUGUAAUAAAAAGAUUGUACUUGUACCUCUUUAACAUAUCUAGUCUAUUGGGGAAUGGGGAGGUUUUCAAUUGGAUUCCAAUUGCUGACAUGGCGUACUGUCAUUGGCCAAUUGAUGGUCGUCUGCUCAUGUGAAUUCCCAUCAUUAAUUGAAGAGAUUGUCCUACUUGUGUGAAUUUGCAAAUUUCUUUCCUAGUGCAGUUACUCGUGUAAAUUAAUAACCCUCCAGCUUAACCACGUGCUCUCUGCUCUCUGCAGGGAACUUUUUUUUUUAUUUAACCACAGAUUUGAUUAUUUUUUAGGGGAAGAAACCCAUUACCCAUGUGGGUAGAUUGACAUACUGUCAGAACUCAGAGUUGGUGAGACUUGCGUUGGGUUCAAUGUUUCACAAAACCGUCCUUUCCCAUUUCUCUAUCUCUCACCCAUCCUCUACUUCUUUAUUCAGAAAGCCCUCAUCCUCUCUUCCUCUUCUUCAUAUUUUCUCCGAAACGGGUUCGAUAUUUUUACUUAAAGAGUUUGUUCUUUCCUCCCCUGCCUAAACUUCUCUAGCCUUUUUUUCCUUUUUGUUCUCCGAUUUAGUUGUCUUAACAUUGUGGCUUGUUGUGGUUUUUUUUUCUUUGUAGGAUAAUAGGGUUGCUCUAGAUCUUCUCUCUCUACUUGAUCAUCUUUAGCUCCAGAAGCAAGGAAAUUUGCAGAAUCUAUCUCCAAACUAUCAGGUUCUUUGUUGCCUCUUAAUCUUUAUUUCCUUUCUAUAUUUAUUGGUUUUAUUCCCCAAAAAUUUUCACCUGGUUAAUAUCUAAAUUUUGCCUAUAUUUUUCCUUAUUUAUUUAUCCAUGCUUUCUCCCAAGAUAGAUGCAGCCAAGAGAAGAUCAUCACCGAGAAACAUUGCUUGCAAUUUUGCUUCCUUGGGGUUCGUCCUUCUUCAUCUUAGGUUUUCUCUAUUUUAUUUUUUCAUUUUUUUAACUUUUGUACUCUUUUUUAAGUAUUUUCUAUGUUACUUAUUUCUUUCUUUUGGGUCUCUAGAGCCCCCUAUACAAACUUGUAUGAUAUUUAUUAUAGAUGGAAAAAUUACUUGGUAGAGAAACUGAAGGACAAUGUUGUCGAGAACCUUUGAAAAAUGGAGUUUUCGUGGCUCAUCUGAUGGCUUUUUUUUUUUUUGGUUUGUUAUGUGCAAGGGUGCGUUCAAUUAUUGACUCACAAAAGACAAUCCAUAUGGUAACCAACCCAAAGUCUCCAUUUGUGGAGAUCAAAUUUCAUGUCAAUGAUUGUUGAAAACUUUAGUUAUUUUUUCGUGUCUUUAUUUUUGAUAAAACUAUUUUUCUUUUUUUUUCCUUUGUGAAGUUUUGGUUCUCAUUUCCGGAGAGUGUAUAUGGAUUCUUUAAAACAAAAGAAAAAAAAUACUCUUGUGUUUUCUUAGUUGCUGAUAAAAGCACUAAAACUGAUCAAUGAGCCAUUAGUUGAGAUACUCGUUUUAAGUACAUGUUCCCUAUAUAUUUGUAUAUGCAUGAAUCUUGCCGGCCUUUCUUCUUUUAAAUGAGUACCUUUUAUUUUAGGUUUACAAGAAUACCUUUUUUGGUUAAAUUUUUGUUUAUUUUUUUCCUAGAAGAUUGGUUUGAAUUCAUCUACUAGGGAUAACAUUUUGAGAAUAUAAAGUGAAUAUAGAGUAAAUAUGGCAGAUUGAGUAUUAGCCUGUUAUUGUAGAGAAAUUUCUUACCAUCUACUGCCAUUUAAGUGGUUUACUACAUGUUUCUUGCUUAUUUAGACUUUACCUUUCGUGAAAAUGAUUUCAAUGUUUAUGGGCAAUUAAAAGUUUGGUGUGGUAAUAUGUUGGUCUUUCCAAUUUCUUUAUAUUUCUUGAAAAGGUAAAGAGAAUUUUUUGUAGCUAAAAUAACAAAAAAGAUGUUAGGAUUACUUUGCAUUUAGAUCCUUUUUCUUAAGUCAUCUUCUUUUUAUUUUACUUUUGGUUAUGUUAUUAAUUUUUUUUAUUCUUUUAUGUUAUUAAUUUACUUUGUUCAUGUUAAAGGUGCAAAUGAUUGAAGAUGCAGUCACUCUGAAACCAGUUCAUGGAAUAACAAACUUUGUAAGUUAAAAAUGUAGUCCUUUUUUUUUAUCUUGCUUUUGUGUUGAGCAUGGUCACUAUUAGAUGGUUUAUUCUUAAUUUCAUCCUUUCAGUCCUUCACUAUUUGCACACCAUUAAUUCACUAUAUUGGAAUCAUAAAUACUACUUUGUUUAGUAUAAAAGGUUUUUUCGGUCUCUUAUUUUAUUUAAUUAUCUUUUAUUACAACAAGAAACGUGAAGAAUUAUUCAAAUUUUACUGAGGAAAAAAUUGUUUAAGUGGGCAAUUUUUUGUAGGCUUUACUCGUCAUAUAUAUACUAAUCUGCUCUAUGAUUUUCUGCUCAGAUUUUUGUCAAGCGAGGGAAGAAAGAAAAAAUGGUGGUCAAUUCUUACUUUUAAGCAUUAUGGAGUUAUACAACUACGCGAAACUUAAAUACUUACUAAAUUUGUUGUUGACCAUUAUGCUGUUAUUGUAAGAAAACUUUUAAGAAUGAUUGCCAUUCAGGAGGUUUACUCUAUAUUUCUUGCUCAUUUAGACUGUCUGUAUUGUUUGUGUAAGAUAGCAUAUAAGCUUUUAUUUCAGGAUAUUUUUGUUGCCAAGUUUGGAUGCGUCUGACAUACACAUUGUCAUGCCUUAGGUAGUGGACAUUUGUCGUAUGCAUCGAAUAACCAUUGCCAAGUUUGCUUAUUUUGUAAAUUAUAACGAUUUGUUUACAUAUUUAAAUUUGUGAAAUUUACUUUACGGGUUCUAUUCCUCAUCUCACCAUUAAAUGGUUAAAUGGAAACUUUUGAGAGUACAAAUAGAGCUUCAUGAAAACAAGAAACUAGAUUCGUGCAUAAUUUUGGUGAAAAUGGAACAGUUUGGUUUGAAGGCAAGAUUAAGCAAUCUUUGAUUUUUCUUUGUAUUAGCUUCUCACAAUUGCAACAAAUUUCUAAUGGCCUUGCUUUAAUUAUGUUCAAGUUCCCAUUUUAAACAGCAAGAGAAAUGGGACAAAAAAAAAGAAGGCCAUGAAAAGAAGCAGGGAAGGGAAAAUGGAUCUUCAUCAGAAUAUGUAUGUUUUUUUCACUUUUUUUUUUUUGUGAAAUUUAAGUUGGUUCUAUAAGUAUUUUUUUUUUGUUUAAUUUUCCUCUGAUUAGAAGGAGAAAAUGAGAAGAAAAAUAAGCAGAUGAAGAGAAAAGUAUGGAUCUUCAGCCUAAUCAGGUCUAUAAGUUCCUUUAAUUUAAGCACUUUUUGUAAGGUUUUAUUUUAGUUCAAAAUACAUUUUUAUCUGAGUUUUUGAAAUGAAAAUGAGGUGAAGCAGAUGAAAGGAAAGAACAGAUCUUUGGUUUGAUUGAAUGCUGUAAGUUUUUUCUAUUACUUUUUCUUUGUAACUUGAGCCAUUUUUUGAGCUUCUUUCUUGUGUGCCUUUUUUUUAUUUCUGACUUUCUAUUAUUGAAUCUGAAGCAAAAAAGAAAGAAGAAAUAAUAAAAUUUCAGAGUCCUAAGCGAUUUUUUUUUUUUGAAAAAAAAAUUUGUGUGAAUUGCAUCUAUGGUUGUAGAAUUUGUUAUUAGAAUGAUUGAAAAAUUGGAUUUUGAUCGACUCAUUGUAGAUGGUAAGAGGUUGAAAGUAAUUGAUCAGAUAAUGCUUAGGAUCACAUCAGAUUGUUUUUGCUUUGAGUUUUCAUUUUUUGUUGGUUUAUUCAUUGUGCAAUUAUUUAUUAUACUGACAAUAAGAUUUGAUUUUGAUAAGACUGUGUGAGGAUUCUAAUAGCUUUCAAAUGAUAAGGUAGAUAGUAGAAUCAUUUAUACUUUUUGGUUUGGGGUUUCAUUUCAAUUUGUGGGAAUUAGGUACCAGAAGAGCUAUAUUUUGGGUUAUCAUUGGAUUUGCUAAAAUUAGCGUUUGUGGUGUACAUUUAAAGCUUAAAGUAAUGCAAUUCAAAGCUUAAAGUAAUAAUCAAAAGUAUAGUGCCACAAAAAUUCAAGGCAUUAGUUAGACGAUUUUAGAAUCAAAACAAGGAGGAAUAAAGAGCAUCAUAGGUUAAGCUUACUAUUGCUUUAGGUAGAAUAAUUUCAAAUGUAUUGCACUUUGAAUAUGUCUAAAGAUCUAAGUUUUAUUUGAUUGAACUGUUUCACUGACGAUGCAUUAUCCUGCUAGGUUUAAUUAUUCUCGCUAGUUUUGGUUAAGAUUGUCUUUGUUGCUUUUUCGAUUCCUGAGAUAUGUUUCCUUUUUUUUGUUUAGAAACAUUAAAAGUACCUCUCGUGCACUUGAAGUGUGAAGAUGCUCAUGGAUUAUUUACAUUAAUAUCAUCAAGAAAUUUUGUCAGAUUUCGUUGCUUUUGGUUUCUCCUGAAGUACUGUCUUGUCCUUUUACUUAUUUAUUUGCUUAUUUUGACUUUCGGACUAUUAUUAUAGAUUGGUAUAAAUUGCUUUGUUUGUUUUUUUCCAAAAUUUGAUGCUUCUGAUCAGAAUUAAGUGUUCCAUAGAAAUUCAAAUCCUCUGAUAUUUUCUUUAGGAUUUUUUUGUUCAAAUGUUUGGUAAUCUGGUUUAUGACAUUGCUUCUUGUCUAUAGCUUUUAACUUUGGAGUUUCGUCUAUAGAGUGAGUUUCUAAACCCAUCGUUCACUGCUUGAUAGGUAUUUGCAUUCAUGGGAAUGAGAGGAGAGUCAGAAUAAAGCUGGAGCUCUCUGAUGCUAUUAGUCAUUGAAAGUCUAGAAUCAUUUUGCUUGUGGCCAAUUAGAAAUACUUUUUUCUUUUCUUUGUCAAUUUUUUCAAUUGGCAUUGAUAUACGUUUAGUCUUACUAAGUAGAUUUUCUCUUUAUACUGCAUGUAUAUGCAUUUUAUUAUUCGCUUGAACAUAUUGUAAAAGAAACUUAUUGCUGUUAAAUAUCCUUUUCUAGGAACUAACAACUUGAUUUGUGGUUUUUAUCAACAAAAAACAAACUUAUCGCUAUUAAAUGCCUUUUUUAGGAACUAACAACUCGCUUUGUAUAUUUCUUCAAGCUAUAUUUUUUCCCCUCCUCCUCCAUUACAUGUGUCUUUUUUUAUUUCUAUUUUCAUUCUAUGCAAAAACAAGGAGCAUCUUAAUUAUCUUAGUAGUCUCUCAUUGUAUUGUCUUGCAUUUCUUUAACAAAUUAUUCAUAUUCACUGCUUAAUAAAACUAAAAAAAUAGAACGGCAAAGUUUUUGGUAUACCUUUGUGUAACUUUUCAUACUUAAUAUUUCAAUUUGAAUCAUUGGGCAUUUCUAGGCAACCUUGAAAAUUACACCGCACAUCGCGCGGUGUUCUCCUCCUAGUACAUCUUAACAAGUGCAUAAGGAUCAAGCUAUUCUUCAAAGGGAGUUUGAAAUAGAGCUUGACAGAAAGAAAAGACAAGAAAGUGAGGGCAAAAUUCGAGAGAAAAUGAAUGACGAAAAUGGUGAGUUGAGCCGAGGCAAAAUUGAGGGGAAAAGGCUGAAGUAAGCUCGGCUAGAUAGGUAGAGGUAAAAAAACAGAGAAAACAAGUGUUAAUAGUAAAAGCCAAAGAUGUGAGAAAAACCUUGUUUUUUGAUCAAAUCCUUCUAAUUUUUAUUUGUAAAGAAGUACCUAUGACUGACACACUUAAUGUUUCUUUGCCUAGUUCUAUCGCUAACCUUUUGCAGAAAUAUUAAGAUGCCUUUCUUGAGGACAUACCUUGUGGUUUACCUCCAUUAAGAGGAAUUAAGUAUCAAAUUGAUCUCAUUUCUGGCGUAACCUUGCCUAAUAAACCACCAUAUAGAAGCAAUCCUGAGGAGACUAAGGAGAUGAAGCGCCAAGUAGGUGAACUUUUGGACAAAAGAUAGAUACGUGAAAACUUGAGUCCAUGUGCCAUUCCGGUUCUACUUGUGCCAAAGAAGGAUGGAACUUAGAGGAUGUGCACCGAUUGUUGCGCCAUAAAUGCUAUAAUGGUAAAAUAUCACCAUCCUAUUCUUUGAUUAGAUGACAUGCUAUAUGAGUUAGAUGGAACUGUAAUUUUUACUAAAAUUGAUCUAAAAAGUAGUUGUCAUCAAAUACGAAUGAAAGAACGGGAUGAAUGGAAGAUUGCCUUCAAAACUAAGUAUGGUUUAUACGAAUGGUUGGUUAUGCCAUUUCGGUUAACUAAUGCACCUAGCAUCUUUAUGAGAUUAAUGAACCAUAUCUUACGUGUAUUCUUAGACAAGUUUGUGGUCGCUUACUUUGAUGACAUUCUUAUUUAUAAUAAAAGUUUAGAAAAGCAUGCCAUGCAUGUAAAGGAUUGUUUUAGAGGUUUUUCGAAAGGAACGAUUGUAUGUCAAUCUUAAAAAAUGUACUUUUUGCACUAAUCAAAUUGUGUUCCUAUGAUAUGUUGUGAGUAUGCAAGGCAUACAUGUUGAUCAAGACAAGGUGACAUCGAUAGUAGAGUGGCCGACCCCUAUGUCUCUUAGUGAAGUAAGAAGUUUUCACUGGUUGGCUAGCUUUUAUCAUCGUUUUGUCAAAGAUUUUAGUACAAUUGUAGCCCCACUUACUUCUAUCAUCAAGAAGAACUAAGCCUUUCAUUGGGGAGAUGAAUAAGUUAAAUCUUUCCAAUUACUCAAGCACAAACUCACACAUGCACCUGUAUUGAGAUUGCCUAACUAUAAUCAAACAUUUGAAAUUAAGUGUGAUGCAUCUGGCAUAGGCGUUGGGGCCGUGUUACUACAAGAAGGAAAAUCGAUUGCAUAUUUUAGUGAAAAACUAAAUGGAGUAUCUUUGAACUACUCGACAUAUGACAAAGAGCUGUACGCUUUAGUUAGAACUUUGCAAACAUGGCAGCACUAUUUAAUGCCUAAGAGUUUGUUUUACAUAUGGAUCACGAGUUGCUUAAGCACCUUAAGACUCAAAAUAAAUUGAGCAAGCGACAUGCAUGAUAGGUAGCCUUCAUUGAUAGCUUUCCAUUCGUGAUCAAGUAUAAGGCCGGAAAAAAGUAACGUGGCAACAGAUGCAUUGUCUAGAAGGUACACUCUUAUUACCACUCUUGAUGCCAAAUGGAUUUGAGUUGAUUAAGGAUACUUACAUUAACGACCCUGACUUUGGAGUUAUUUUUGCUGACCUUCCACGGCUUGAUCGUGAGAAUUACUACAUUUCACAAGGGUACUUGAUCUUCAAAGAUAAGUUGUGCAUACCAUCUUAUUCUAUGCAUGAGCUACUUGUUAGGAAAGUGCAUGGAGGAGGUCUUAUGGGGUAUUUUGGAGUUGCUAAGAUAUUAUCUAUCCUCCAAGAGCACUUUUAUUGGUCAAAGAUGAGGCGUGAUGUAGAACGCAUUACUCAACGGUGUGUAACUUGCCACCAUGUCAAAUCUAAGGUAAACUCCUAUGGACUUACACUCUAUUACCUAUUCCUAGUAUUCCAUGGGUUGAUUUAUCUAUGGACUUUAUACUUGCAUUACCUAGAACUAGGUAUGGACAUAAUUCUAUUUAUGUGAUUGUUGACCAUUUUUUUAAGAUGACAUAUUUCAUUUCAUGUCAUAAAAAUGAUGAUGCUAAACAUGUAGCUGAUUUGGUCUUUAGGAAAAUUGUUAGAUUGGAUGGAAUGCCACGCACUAUUGUUAGUGAUAGGGAUGCCAAGUUCCUUAGUUAUAUUUGAAAAUCUUUAUGGAGUAAACUAGGAACUAAACUCUUGUUCUCUACUUCUAGCCACCCUCAAACUGAUGGUCAAAUUGAAGUAGUUACGUGCUAUCAUAAAAAAGAAUUUUAAAUCAUGGGAAGAUUGUUUGUCACAUGUUAAAUUUGCUUAUAACCGCACAGUCAAUAGCACCAUACAAUACUCACCUCUGAAGUUGUUUAUAGUUUUAACCUUCUCACACCUCUAGACUUAUCUCCUUUACCUAUGUCUGAGAGAGUUAAUAUGGAUGGUUUGAAACGAGCUGAACAAGUGCGUGCCUUGCAUCAAAAGGUAAGGGAUAACAUUGAGAAAAUGACAUUUCAAUUUAUUCGCAAUGCUAACAAGAGGCGUCGCAAAAUGAUUUUUGAACCAGAUGAUUGGGUGUGGAUUCACAUACGCAGAAAAAGGUUCCCAGUACAACGACGUAAUAAACUCUUGCCUAGAGGUGAUGGACCUUUCCAAGUGGUGGAACGCAUCAACGAUAAUGCUUAAAAGUUGGAUCUACCAUGUGAGUAUGGUGUACACGCUACUUUCAAUGUAGUUGACUUAAGUCCUUACCAUGCAGACGAUGAGUUUGAUUUGAAAAUAAAUUGCCUUCAAGAGGAGGGAAAUGAUGCAAGAGCGACGGUUGACCAAGGCACUUCGAGUGGAGUCCAAGCUGAGCUAGAUGGUCUAAUGACUAGAGCUCCUGUCAAGAAACUUAAGGGGUCAAUGCAAACACUAGUCUAUGUUAUACAUGAUAGAGUUGGCCAUACAAAUGUUAUUCAAGGGCUUGAGGAGGAAGAACUAACUCGUUAUACUUUCAUUCAAGUCGUCGAGUCAAGUGAGGCAAAGUUGGAAGAUUCGCUCGAAGAUUAAAACGUUCAAUUCUGGUUUAGUCCAUUAGCAUUUGAGUCAUUUAUCUUGGUGUUGUUUAAGCAAGGGUUUUAAUGUUAAAUUACCUUACUAAAUUUAGUCUAAAUUAGGGUUUUUAGUGGGCCGACUGACUUUUGUCAUUAAUUUUAGGAAAUAAGUGGUUUUAAAUCAUAUGAGAUUUUCAAAUAAGUGAUUCCAAAUCACAUUAGAUUUUCAAGUCAUGUAAGGUUAUAAAUAGCCAACCUCUUAAAUGUUUAGAGAGGUCAGAUUUUACAUUAAAAUUGUGAGUUUUAUUCACUUCUCUUGUCUAAGAAAGUUUUUCUUGAAUACUUGAGAGUUUCUUAAGUUAUUCAAUUUGAACUUAUCAAUCAAAUAUAUAUCUUGGUUAUGACAUUUUUCUACCUUUAACAUUGGUUCACUAAAUCAUUCGAUUGUGGGUUGAAAUUCAAUUCAAGGCUCGGAAUCUAUGGUUUAGAAGGGUCAAGUGUUAUUCCGCAAUUCAACUUGAUUUUUUUCGUCUAGAUCCGGGACUACGUGGGAUAUGAGUUCAUACCUUUGGACGAGUUCGUAUCAGUGAGUUUAGUCUAAGUAAUAAUAAGUUUUCAUACAUAAAUAGUAAUUCUUACUAAUAACAUGGUAAAUUUGAUUAAUGAUGAAAACUUACUAAUUUAUGAUAAAAAUGUGCUAUUUUACUUUAAAAAUUUAUCUCAAACUAGUAUUAAGAAGUUUAUUUGAAAUAAUGAUAAGAUGUUUUAUUAAUGAUUAAAACUUAGUACCCUAGUUAGUAAGUACUCAUAAUAUACCUGUAUAAUACAUGAUUAUAUGUAUAAAUUAAAAAUUUUUUGUAUUUAUAUAUUUCAAAAUACUAUGAAAAAUAUUUUGACUUUUCACAUAACCUUGUAAAAUAUGUAAUAAAAUUUUGUGGUAUUAUAAUUUUUAAUUAUUUUUCAAUUUUUAAGAAGUUUGAAAGUUUGGAUAACAAUAACAACAAAUCUUCGUAGUUAUAUAGAAUAUCUCUCAUACAUAUAUCAUGGAUAUUUGAGACUUUUGGCAAAAAAAAAUUUUUUUGUUAAAAUAAUAUGGUAUUAUAAGGUGCUAAUUAUUUUAGGAUCAUUUUGUACAUGAACUAAAUUUCAUUUAGAUUAUACAAUAAAUUAUAUGUGCAUGUGAUUUUCGUUUAGUGGCUGGAUCUUAUUUUCGUGAACAAUCUCCCGAGAAAAAAAUUUCAAAUUAUACUAAUUCUGUCAGUUUUAUUGUUGUAAUAAUUGUUACACUAUUUCUCUUAUUUUGUUAGGUCUAUAUUAAUACAAGUUUAAUUCUUAUUAAUUCUUGUAUCCCAGACAAUUCAUUUAUUAAAACUUUAUCAUCUUAUUAUAUUAAUAGGUUUUAAGUUAUAGAAACUAUAUAGACAAGUGAUGUUCCAUAUAUAACUAGGAAGAUGUGUUGUUAUUAUUAUCCAAACUUUUAAACUUUUCAAAAAUUUAAAAAAUCAUUCAAAAUUAUAAUACGACAAAAUUUUAUUACAUAUUUUAUAAGGUUAUGUGAAAAGUCAAAAUAUUUUUCAUAGUAUUCUAAAAUGUAUAAAUACAAAAGAUUUUUAAAUUAUACAUGGAAUCAUAUAUUAUACAGGUAUAUUAAGAAUACUUACUAACUAGAUUACUAAGUUUCAAUCAUUAAUAAAAAAUCUUAUCAUUAUUUCAAAAAUUUCCUAAUACUGUUUGGUAUAAGUUUUUAAAGUAAAAUAGUACAUUUGUACCAUAAAUUAGUAAGUCUGAUCAUUGAUCAAACUUACUAUGUUAUAAGGAAGAUCUAUUAUUUAUGUAUAAAAAUAUACUAUUAUUUAAACUAAACUUACUCUCUAAGAAGUAAAUUUGGGAUAUAAAGUUAUAAUUUAUUUCUUUAAAAAGUAAGUUUAUAUUUAUUCCAAUUUAUCUUUUGAGACACAAAAGUUACUAAUUUAUUAUGUGAACUUACUAUUUUAGGUGAGAAAUUUAGUUCUAAUAAGUAAUCAAAUAGUCAUUAAAAGUAUGAUAAUAUGUUAUAUCACGUAAAAACUAUUUAGUUACCGUAACGAUAGUUACUAUAGCAUUUUCCAAAAAUCAUUACUAAAGUUGCUUAUCAAGAGCAGAAAGCAAGCCCAAUAUUGCUUGAAAGAGACAAGUGCUGGAAAACUCGUCCACCGCCAAUGGGCUGUUGUUGCUUUAGGCCGGAGGAUCAAUCUUUACGCUGAUGAUAAAAAAGCAAAAAAAAAAAAAGGCCCAAAAAAUCAGUCGGCUAUUCCCUCAAACUCAAAGAGAGCUCGUGAGAAAUUUCGGGAAAGAAAAAGCCUUUAAAGAAAAAACAAAACAAAAAAAGAAAUGCCAGCAGCAUCAUCUCCUUCAUCUCUGGCGUGUUAUUAUUCAUUCUCCUCAGUAAUAGCGUGCGGUUGCCGCUAUCGUGCGCCUUUAAAGCACUCGUUCUUAGCCUUCACUCGUCGCUUCCACUCCCUCCACCCUCACCACCGCUACUGUCGCCGUCUUCCGCCUCAUUCUCUGGCAAUUCUCGCCGCGAACACCACGGCGUAUUCUUCUCGCUCCCGCCGUCUCCCUAAAACGCAUUUCUUCACGGGGAACUCUCUUUUCUCCCGCAUGGAGGUACCUCCCUCCGUCUCUCUCUCUCUCUCUCUCUCUCUCUCACGAAAACCUAGCCUGUUCAGUUGACUAUAGAAAUGUUUAAUCGUUUUUGAGCUUGUUGAUCAAGUAAAUUGUCGAGUUAUCAGCUUUCUAAUAAUAAAUUACGUAUAUUUGAGUUGAAGUCGUAUGAAUUCGAAGAAAAUGAUCAAGUGUUUUCCGUAUUUUGGAUAAUUAUUGUAAGUUUCAGGUUCGCUAAUUUAUAAUUAUAAUUUCUUAAAAAUGAAUUGUCAAGUACUGUUAUAGAGGUAAUUAAUUCUGGACUUUAGUGUCAAGGUGAUUUUUGAGAAAAAUGAGAAUUUUGAUUUGGAUGAGUGUGUGUGACUUGGGUGGGCGGAAUAUGAAAAAAGAGCCCAUUUUGGGUGCAUUAGGAGAACGGGGCUCUUGAAUCUUGUUGAAAAAGAUGGAUAUGAUAUUGGAACAAGUGGAAGCCACAUUUGUUUACCACUCAUUUUGCGUGCCGGAUGGACUAGGCUUUGAGUGCUAGCUACUUUCUUGUGUAAGAAGAAGUUAAAAUGAGCUGUACAAGUCUUCAGGUCCUUCUGUCUUUACACUUUGCGUUUUUCUUGCUUAGCUUUGGUUUAUAAAGGCUGAUAUAUGGGUAGUGUUGGAGGAGAGCUUCGAAAUUUUGACUGGGGUUGUCUGUAUGAGAGUGAUAUCUUCUAGCAGUUGGUAUGGUUUUUGGACACGUAAGCUUGGUCAAAGGUAUAUUUGAAACUUCUAGCAUUAGAAGGAGCUAAUAUUUGUCUCAGUUUUGUUUGUAACCAUCCUUGUUUUUAUGGUAACAGGUUGAGAGAUGCACAUAUGUCUUAGCUUUGACAUCAAUCUUAUUUGUGUUUGUCUACAGCGAUUCUGGACAGGAGGUGGUAUUGAUAAGAAUAGAGCAAUGGUGGAGCAUUUGCAGAGCUAUGGUGUUGUUAGAUCUAAAAAGGUGGCUGAGGUUAUGGGAACUAUUGACAGGGCUUUGUUCGUUCCUGAUGGGACCCCGCCAUAUGUUGAUACCCCCAUGCAAAUUGGUUACAAUGCUACCAUAUCUGCGCCUCAUAUGCAUGCCAUGUGCCUUGAGUUGCUGGAAAACCAUUUGCAGCCUGGCAUGCAUGCUCUGGAUAUUGGCUCAGGUUACUAUAGUUUCACUUGUUCAUUCAUUGUAUUGUUGGAUUUUGAAAUGUAUUCGUGUCUGCAUGUUUAAGCACUUGUGGAAAUGCAUACACAAAGCAGAGAUAACUAAGUACAUAUCGGAAUAAGACACUAGCAGAAUAUGUGGUAUUACUUCUAUUUAGCUGAUUAUGCUCAUUACUAUGAUUUCAUUUGAGGUGGCUAAUAAGAAUAAUAGUUCAAAACACUAUUUGGACCACCAGCCCUAUCGCUGGGUGAAUGACCAGGAAGAAAUCAAAAACAAAAACUUAUAUGUUACUCCUUCAGUGUAUAAGUUGAGGAAAUGUUGCCCUAGUUAUCCAUCUGCAUUUUGACUUAAUAUUGAACAAAGGUAAACUCGCUCAGUUUAGGGUAAGACUACUGCAUUUUGUUGAUGAUGGUGGAACUUAUGCAGCAAUGUUCCUUAUUGCCAUUUGUGCUGAAGAUAACUAGUUGUUGGUUAGCUGCCUGUGAACUGAAUUGCUUAUAUGUCUUGAGGCUCGCUUUCUUUUUUCCCUGUCCCAAAUUGGAUUACGCUUACAUCUGCUAGUUCUUGUUUUGCAGGAACGGGUUAUUUGACUGCAUGUUUUGCUAUUAUGGUUGGACCACAAGGUCAUGCAGUUGGUGUGGAACAUAUUCCUGAGUUGGCUGCUGAAUCAAUCAAAAAUAUACAAAAGAGUGCUGCUGCUCCACUACUGAAAGAAGGGUCCUUGGCUAUACAUGCAGGGGGUACGUUCUAAUAUAUCCUAGCAGUGAUCAUCUAUUAUCUUUUUGAACUAAUGUCACUUGUAGAUUGGAAAUGCAUUUGCUGUUGAACUCAUCAAGUUUUUCAGAUUUAUCAUUUUUCUUGGUUCUUUUCCUAAGACAUUGUCACAUGUCUUUGGUUAGUUGAACUUAUCCUUGGCAUCAUUGUCACUUCUAAAAUACUAUUCUGCAAAAGCAACAGAUACCAAUCUUGGAUGGGCAUACAUAGUUUUUCUCUGUUUAAAAGACCUUAAAUUGUCUCACUUCCUGUUGUAUUUUUCCAUAUAGGUCUGAUGGGUCAACUGUAGUAGAUUAGCUCCCAUUCUGUUGUUGUGGUGAGGUGGACUAUAGGUUUAGCCUGAUGGUAAUAAAUAGAUAUUUUGGAAAAUUUUAUGACUCUGAGUCUUAGUAAAGUAAUAGGUCUGAUAAUGAGUUGGUUUGGACAAAAUUUUGUAGUCUGCUGAUGUUAAUCAUUAGGUGAGCUAGCUUGCAGCAUUCUUAGCAGCACGUGACAAGCUUUUGUGAUGGUUAAGGAAGUCAUAUGACCUAAGUACUGCCAAAUGGUUUCUUAAGUAGUCUUGCAGAAAUGGCAAGGUUCUGAAUUAAUGAACGGAAAACUGAUGUUGCAGACAAGUUUUUGCUGCUUAUAGGUUUCCUUUGCAUAAGAACUAGGCAAUCUCUUUCAGGCAUUUGUAGGUUGUACUAGGCUCUCUUCUGUAACUUUUUCUCUUGCUGGAUUAGGAUUAACUUCUUGGUUCCAUGUAUUGGUCUUGCAAUGUCAUAGAUGGACGGCUUGGCUGGCCGGAGCAUGCACCGUAUGAUGCUAUUCAUGUUGGUGCUGCAGCACCAGAAAUUCCUCAAGCUCUGAUCGAUCAGUUGAAGCCCGGUGGCAGGAUGGUGAUCCCUGUCGGAAAUAUCUUCCAGGAUUUGAAGGUCGUGGACAAGGAUAUGGAUGGUUCAAUCAGUGUCCACAGUGAAACUUCUGUUCGUUAUGUUCCACUAACGAGUCGAGAAGCUCAAUUGCGUGGUUAUUAAAGGUGGUGCCAUCAUAUGUAACUUCUUGUUUACUUGUUGAAGGGAGAGAAGAAAAGGAAAAGUCUGGAGGAAACUGAGACAGGGAGCAUAGGGAAGAAGCCUUCUUUUUUCCAGAUCUUCACUUCUAGUUCUGUAUAGGUAGCCAUGUAUAGGUUGAUGCCGUGGAUAUUGAAUGUUUUUAUUUUUCUUAUUCAAUGGAAUAAUGUUUACAAAAUGGACUCGUGCUUCGCUUUUCUUCUCAUGUUGUUACUGUUGGCUUUUUGAUGUUCAUCGUUCUGUUUGAAGCUCGUUAUUUGAUUGAUAGACGAUGAACUGGGCCAGUUAGAAAUUCGAAACCACAUUUUUGUUGGUUUUCUCUGGGGCUGAAUAAUGUCUUCUGAGUCCUUACCCUUUUAUGCUGUAGACUAAAACUACUUGCGUAUGAUCAAAACCUAACGCUUUUCCCCCAGAGAUUGCACUUGAAUUCAAUGUGUACUGAUUCAAGAUAAGAAUGUAAUCCUUCAUUGGUUAUGCGUAAUUGCAACUGUAACAUAAUUGCAAUGAUGAUAACCUAUUACUUUAAGCCAUUUCUGACAGAAAAUGCAAAUGUAACAACCUAAAGAGGUGCAGCAGAGUAGGCUUCAUGAUAAAUUUUUGUGCACUUAAUACGGAAUCGAGGGAGAAGAAAAAUUAAGAGAACCAGUGAUGCACUUAUCUCCAUUCAUAUAGCAGGGAAUCAACACAUACACUGCAUGAGAACGCAGGCAUUAUGUUGUCUAUCAAUUUGAAGACACACAAUAUAAUAUACAUUAGAAAAAAUGUUGAUUCUGAUGAGUCCAACGUGAUCUUUUAGAAAUUUGUGGUGUAAAUCCUUCCUGCCCCAACUGUCAAAUAUAGGAUUCAAACCCUCAACGUGACAGCGAGAAGAAGGGUCUUUCUUCUCCUUUUCUUUAUGCAAAGACUAAUUCUCAAUUAAAGAGACUAAUUGAACAAGAAGACCAAUAGGUAUAACAAGAAAAGAUGAUGAAGAAAGCAGAGCUGCAGACUUUUGAUCUCACAAAUCCACAAAUACCUGUGGAAGUCCAGGACAGAGAAAAACACAUUUUGCCUCUUUCUAACAUCUAAAUAAAUAGACUUGAGCAGUUUUCCACAUCCUACCAAGAUUAAUACAUAAAGCCAAAAAAAGAAAAAAGAAAAAAGAAAAAAGCAAUAACCUCCAUGAUACCAGGAGAUGAAGUUUAAUUACUCAACAAUGUUAAGAGGCUAGUGUAAACUGCACUCGGUUCUCUCAUCAGAAGCUGACAAAAAAUGUAACUACCACUCGUUUCAACUAAUGAAAGCAUAAACUACAGAGACUUUAUAUCUAUCUAGUGCCUUGAGAAUCUCACAAAUCAGCCAACAGAUUAGAAACGCCUUGGUCUUU
rnacentral:lncRNA from 1 species